UACGUAGGGCGCAAGCGUUGUCCGGAAUUAUUGGGCGUAAAGGGCUCGUAGGCGGUCUGUCACGUCGGGAGUGAAAACACGGGGCUUAACCCCGUGCCUGCUUCCGAUACGGGCAGACUAGAGGUAUGCAGGGGAGAACGGAAUUCCUGGUGUAGCGGUGAAAUGCGUAGAUAUCAAGUGGAACACCAGUGGCGAAGGCGAGUCUCUGGACAUUUCCUGACGCUGAGGCACGAAAGCCAGGGGAGCAAACGGG
rnacentral:rRNA from 1 species